CCUACGGGUGGCUGCAGUGGGGAAUAUUGGACAAUGGGCGAAAGCCUGAUCCAGCCAUGCCGCGUGUGUGAAGAAGGCCUUCGGGUUGUAAAGCACUUUCAGUGGGGAAGAAAGCCUUGGGGCUAAUACCCUCGAGGAAGGACAUCACCCACAGAAGAAGCACCGGCUAACUCCGUGCCAGCAGCCGCGGCAAUACGGAGGGUGCGAGCGUUAAUCGGAAUUACUGGGCGUAAAGCGCGCGUAGGCGGUCUGAUAAGCCGGUUGUGAAAGCCCCGGGCUCAACCUGGGAACGGCAUCCGGAACUGUCAGGCUAGAGUGCAGGAGAGGAAGGUAGAAUUCCCGGUGUAGCGGUGAAAUGCGUAGAGAUCGGGAGGAAUACCAGUGGCGAAGGCGGCCUUCUGGACUGACACUGACGCUGAGGUGCGAAAGCGUGGGUAGCAAACAGGAUUAGAUACCCCGGUAGUC
rnacentral:rRNA from 1 species